AGUGAACGCUGGCGGUAGGCCUAACACAUGCAAGUCGAACGGCAGCACAGUAAGAGCUAGCUCUUACGGGUGGCGAGUGGCGGACGGGUGAGGAAUACAUCGGAAUCUACUUUUUCGUGGGGGAUAACGUAGGGAAACUUACGCUAAUACCGCAUACGACCUACGGGUGAAAGCAGGGGAUCUUCGGACCUUGCGCGAUUGAAUGAGCCGAUGUCGGAUUUGCUAGUUGGCGGGGUAAAGGCCCACCAAGGCGACGAUCCGUAGCUGGUCUGAGAGGAUGAUCAGCCACACUGGAACUGAGACACGGUCCAGACUCCUACGGGAGGCAGCAGUGGGGAAUAUUGGACAAUGGGCGCAAGCCUGAUCCAGCCAUACCGCGUGGGUGAAGAAGGCCUUCGGGUUGUAAAGCCCUUUUGUUGGGAAAGAAAAGCAGCAGGUUAAUACCCCGCUGUUCUGACGGUACCCAAAGAAUAAGCACCGGCUAACUUCGUG
rnacentral:rRNA from 1 species